AUUGAACGCUGGCGGCAGGCCUAACACAUGCAAGUCGAGCGGAUGAAGGGAGCUUGCUCCUGGAUUCAGCGGCGGACGGGUGAGUAAUGCCUAGGAAUCUGCCCGGUAGUGGGGGAUAACGUCCGGAAACGGGCGCUAAUACCGCAUACGUCCUGAGGGAGAAAGUGGGGGAUCUUCGGACCUCACGCUAUCAGAUGAGCCUAGGUCGGAUUAGCUAGUUGGUGGGGUAAAGGCCUACCAAGGCGACGAUCCGUAACUGGUCUGAGAGGAUGAUCAGUCACACUGGAACUGAGACACGGUCCAGACUCCUACGGGAGGCAGCAGUGGGGAAUAUUGGACAAUGGGCGAAAGCCUGAUCCAGCCAUGCCGCGUGUGUGAAGAAGGUCUUCGGAUUGUAAAGCACUUUAAGUUGGGAGGAAGGGCAGUAAGUUAAUACCUCGCUGUUUUGACGUUACCAACAGAAUAAGCACCGGCUAACUUCGUG
rnacentral:rRNA from 1 species